CACCCCCAACUUUGGAGAAGAAGGAAGGGCUUGACUGAGUUCAAUCAUCACAGGUCAAUGAUUUAAUCAAUCAUACCUAUGUAACAAAGCCUCCAUAAAAACCCAAAAGGACAGCGCUUCCAGGAGCAGCUGUACAGCAUUCUCUUGAUUAUGCAGAGAAAAAGUAAUAUCUAUCUCCAACAAAAAAUGAGGAAACCAAGGACCAGAGGGUAUGAUAUGCCCAGGAUGACACAGCUUGGAAGAAAACAGGGUCGGGAUAGGUCUGUCUGUCUGCAGUCACUUUUCUGAACUGCUGCAUUAAACAGCUUCCUUUUUGGAUAUGUA